rnacentral:pre_miRNA from 18 species
AAUCACACGGGAUAAUCAAUUAUCCCGUGCGGUCGGUAUAACAUGACCGCACAGGAUAAUGGAUUAUCCCGUGUGGUU